GGUUUGAUUCUGGCUCAGAUUGAACGCUGGCGGGAUGCUUUACAUGCAAGUCGAACGGCAGCACGGACUUCGGUCUGGUGGCGAGUGGCGAACAGGUGGUAAUGUAUCGGAACGUGCCUAGUAGCGAGGAUAACCGCGAAAGCGUAGCUAAUGCCACAUACGCCCUUCGGGGGAAAGCGGGGACCUUCGGGCCUCGCACUAUUAGAGCGGCCGAUAUCGGAUUGGCUAGUUGGUGGGAGUAACGGCUCACCAAGGCGACGAUCCGUAGCUGGUUUGAGGAGAGGACGACCAGCCACACUGGGACUGAGACACGGUCAGACUCCUACGGGAGGCAGCAGUGGGGAAUUUUGGACAAUGGGGAAACCACAGUCCAGCCAUCCCGCGUGUGUGAUGAAGGCCUUCGGGUUGUAAAGCACUUUUGGCAGGAAAGAAACGGCACGGGAUAAUACGUGCAACUGACGGUACCUGCAGAAUAAGCACAAACAACUACGUGCAGCCGCGGUAUUGGCGAGGGUGCAAGCGUUAAUCGGAAUUACUGGGCGCCAGCGUCCGCAGGCGGUUCGGAAGAAAGAUGUGAAAUCCCAGAGCUUAACUUUGGAACUGCAUUUUUAACCACCGAGCUAGAGUGUGUCAGAGGGAGGUGGAAUUCCGCGUGUAGCGAUGAAAUGCGUAGAUAUGCGGAGGAACACCGAUGGCGAAGGCAGCCUCCUAGAGGAUAACACUGACGCUCAUGCACACGAAAGCGUGGGGAGCAAACAGGAUUAGAUACCCUGGUAGUCCACGCCCUAAACGAUGUCAACUAGCACAGUAGAGGCCUUCGGGCCUUGGUAGCGCAACUAACAUGUGCGUUGACCGCCUGAGGAAGUACGGUCGCAAGAUUAAAACUCAAAGGAAUUGACGGGGACCACAAGCCGAUGGAUGUGGUGGUUAAUUCGAUGCAACGCGAAAAACCUUACCUACCCUUGACAUGUCUGGAAUCCCGAAGAGAUUUGGGAGUGCUCGCAAGAGAACCGGAACACAGGUGCUGCAUGGCUGUCGUCCAGCUCGUGUCGUGAGAUGUUGGGUUAAGUCCCGCAACGAGCGCAACCCUUGUCAUUAGUUGCUACGAAAGGGCACUCCUAAUGAGACUGCCGGUGACAAACCGGAGGAAGGUGGGGAUGACGUCAAGUCCUCAUGGCCCUUAUGGGUGAGACCACACGUCAUACAAUGGUCGGGACAGAGGGUCGCACAGCCCGCGAAGGGGAGCCAAUCGAAACCCGAUCGUAGUCCGGAUCGCAGUCUGCAACUCGACUGCGCUGAAGUCGAAUCGCUAGUAAUCGCGGAUCAGCAUGUCGCGGUGAAUACGUUCCCGGGUCUUGUACACCGCCCGUCACACCAUGGGAGUGGGUUUUACCAGAAGUAGUUAGCCUAACCGCAGGAGGGCGAUUACCACGGUAGGAUUCAUGACUGGGGUGAAGUCGUAACAAGGUAG
rnacentral:rRNA from 1 species